GGUUCAUUCUCGUGUUACGCAUCACGUUUGAGCUUCCGCAAGAACCAAUGAGGUUCAUUCUCGUGUUACGCAUCACGUUUGAGCUUCCGCAAGAACCAAUGAGGUUCAUUCUCGUGUUACGCAUCACGUUUGAGCUUCCUCAAGAACCAAUGAGGUUCAUUCUCGUGUUACGCAUCACAUUUGAGCUUCUCUAAGAACCAAUGAGGUUCAUUCUCGUGUUACGCAUCACGUUUGAGCUUCCUCAAGAACCAAUGAGGUUCAUUCUCGUGUUACGCAUCACAUUUGAGCUUCUCUAAGAACCAAUGAGGUUCAUUCUCGUGUUACGCCUCACAUUUGAGCUUCCUCAAGAACCAAUGAGGUUCAUUCUCGUGUUACGCAUCACAUUUGAGCUUCCGCAAGAACCAAUGAGGUUCAUUCUCGUGUUACGCAUCACAUUUGAGCUUCUCUAAGAACCAAUGAGGUUCAUUCUCGUGUUACGCAUCACAUUUGAGCUUCCGCAAGAACCAAUGAGGUUCAUUCUCGUGUUACGCAUCACAUUUGAGCUUCCGCAAGAACCAAUGAGGUUCAUUCUCGUGUUACGCAUCACGUUUGAGCUUCUCUAAGAACCAAUGACGUUCAUUCUCGUGUUACGCAUCACAUUUGAGCUUCUCUAAGAACCAAUGAGGUUCAUUCUCGUGUUACGCAUCACAUUUGAGCUUCCUCAAGAACCAAUGAGGUUCAUUCUCGUGUUACGCAGCACUCGAUUAUGUCAUUCGCAGUGCUUCAUGGGAGAGGACGGAGCUAAAGAGCUAUUUUGGAGCAUGUUGCUUUUUUUUGACUCACUGACUGGAGUAAUUUUCUGUACAGCAUCAUGGGUAUCGUAAUUUUUCACCAGGAAAUCCACUGCUAAACUGAAAUAAUGCAGGCUGACGGCUUCAACAGAAGCAAAUACCAUCAAUUAACAAUCUUGUUGCUCACAGUAAGGUUGUAUUUAAAGGAUUAUAAGUUAUCGUUAAAAAUAUGGAGAAAAUGCAUGGAGUUUUUACUUCCGGAACCUGAAUGUUGCACUCUAUAGCAAACCACAACCAUCCAAUCAAAUCCCCACAGACAAACUCAAGCCCCACCUUACAUUUGUUCUUGUUCCAGUAACCGUUUCACUUAUAUAUGUCUAUCACAACUUCCAUUUCAUUUCGACUUU